CGAUUAUGUCUGGUCUGAGCAUGGCGGGAGAUCUUUACGCAGCCAAGAGUCAGAACGGCAGCACGGACUUCGGUCUGGUGGCGGUGGCAGUACAGAUGACAAUGUAUCGGAACAUGCCCCUGAUGGCGGGGGAUAACCUACGCAGCGUAGCUAAUACCAUAUGCGCCCUUCGAGGAAAGCGAGGACCUUCAGGCCUCCUUGCCACAGAGCGGCAAAUAUCGGAUUAACCAGACGGUGGGUAACGGCUUCUGAAAGGCUGACGAUCCACCGUAGCUGAUUUGAAAGGACGACCAGCCACUGGGACUGAGACACGGCCAGACUCCUACAGGCAGCAGUGGGGGUACUGGUUUAAUGGGGAAGCUCUGAUCCAGCCAUCCCGCGUAUCGAUGAAGGCCUUCGGGUUGUAAAGCACCUGGCAGGAAAGAAACGGCGCAGGAUAUACCCGUGCAACUGCCGAAUACCUGCAGAAUAGCACCGGCUAACUACGUGCCCAGCAGCCGCGGUAAUACGUAAGUGCAAGCGUUAAUCGGAAUUACUGGGCGUAAAGCGUGCGCAGGCGGUUCGGAAGAAGAUGUGAAAUCCCGACUUGCUAACAUGAACUGCAUUUUUUUGCUACCGAGCUAGAGGUGUCAGAGAGGAGGUCGGGAAUUCCGCGUCAUGUGAUGAAAUGCGUAGAUAUGCCGGAGGAACACCGAUAGCGGUAGCCUCCUGGUCUGCUGACGCUCAUAAAAGCGUGGGGAGCAAACAGGAUUAGAUACCCUGGUGGUCCGCGCCCUAAACGUGUCAACUGGCGCUGUUGGAGGCAGCUGGCGGGCGGUGGCGCAGCUAAAAGCUUGCCGCGUAGUUGACCUGCUGAAAUCACGGUCGCAAGAUUAAAACUCAAGGUGUGACGGGGACUAACACAAGCGGAUGAUGUGGUUAAAUUCGAUGCAGCGCGAAAGGCCUUACCUACCCUUGACAUGUGUCUGAAUCGAAGAAGGUGCGGGAGUGCUGCAAGAGAACCGGAACACAGGUGCUGCGUGUUGUGUCUCGUCAGCUCGACUGUCUCGUGAAUGUUGGGUCGUCCCGGCAGGCGCAACCCUUGUCAUUAGUUGCUACGAGAAGGGUACUCGACUUCUAUGACUGCCGAUCGACCGACCUUCGGGAGGAAGGUGGGGAUGACGUCCAGCGAGUCCUCAGCCCUUAUGAUGAGGCUUCACACGUCAUACAAUGGUCAGGACAGGGGGUCGCCAACCCGCGAAGGGAGCCAAUCCCGAAACCCGAUCGUAGUCCGGAUCGCAGUCUGCAACUCGACUGCGUGGCGAUCGGAAUCGCUAGUAAUCGCGGAUCAGCAUGUCGCGGUGAAUACGUUCCCGGGUCUUGUACACCGCCCGUCACACCAUGGGAAUUAGGUUUACCAAGUAGUUGGCCUAACCGUAAGGAGGGCGGAUACCACGGUAGGAUUCAUGUGGCCUGGGUAGAGUCGUAGCUCUAAAAUA
rnacentral:rRNA from 1 species